UAGAUGUUGGCUUAAGGUUGUUACAAUACCCCCUUCCUUCAGGAGAGUAUGUCCCCACGCUUCUCUAUACCCAAGUCCCUCACGUGGACACGCCUCUCCGAGGUCCCCACGGCCAUCUGACAUCAAUAUAGCAAAUUCAGGGGGUAUCCCCAACUGGGACUCGAAACCGGUUCCAUCGACUGUCGAGGUAACACCUUAAUAACCGUUACGCCAAGAGCUCCGAACCCGUUGAUGAGAUCGCUAGGUGCUGGUUUAAAGUUGUUACAAUAUGCUCUUAUCUAUUCAGUUCUGGGGGAUUGGAGUCAGACAUGCUCUGCUUUAUGAUAGACAGUUUAGUUUGAGUUAAGUCGGGUCACGCUUUUUCCCCUCUUCCCUUCUCUCCCCCUUGUGGUUGAUAUCAAGUGAUCUGGAACAAUAGUUUUCCAUUUCUAUUAGUUUUAUCAUCCAAAACUUGGAGAAAAAGGGAGCGAUAUAAAAUAAGGAACAAUGGUCGGCUGACAGGCCUGCUCCUGCCAACGUGAAACACGUAGGUGUAUUAGCCCACCAGUCUGAGCAAGCGACACAGUGAGAGGUGUUUUCCGCCCGCUGGUGUUGGAUCGAGAUGGAUAACCCAGAAGAGGAAAAGGAGAACGGAGAGGAGAGCCACGAAUAGUUUGAAGUACCCGCUGACCACCUCUGAGCCUAACUUCUCCUCGGAGGCUUGGACGAGCCGGGGCACUAGUUUACGGAGGCCACAGUCCUCGACUGAAUUAGCGAACAUAAUGGCUUCUUCAGUCACACAUCAUCCACGACCACCGUAGGAUGAAAGAUGGCCAAAAAAUGCGCACGGAGAUGUAGCUUCUUCUAUCCAGUGCUGUUUAGAUAAUGCGUUGUUUUACCAAAGGGGAAACUUGGGGGUUGAAGUAAUAAGCAAUAUCACACUGUUACCGAGCUGUUUGAUGGAUACAGUGAGUCUGACCACAGCGGGAUGUCCUGGAACACGGUAAUAAUGGCAGGUUACGCGCCAAGCUAUUAUGAUGAAAUAAUUGGUGUUCUGCGUUACGCAACGCAAUGGAAUUGGAAACAGUUCUGGUACAACAAAACCCCACGUUUCCAAAUUCCAAAAUCCUGCGGUGUCGAUUUACCCCCAAAAUGCGCUCUUUGUAGUCAUAGACUAGGUCUACUCUACUGUAAUGCAAUCUGUAUUUUACCCAAAGAGAAAAUAGCAAUCGUUAGGUAUAUAUGUUAUUGUUGUCGGGUGAGGAUUCCACAAAUAAAAAAAUGGAAACAGCAUCACCAACCUUUUGUUGAUGGACACUUUAUUGGGCUCCUGCCCACAAUAUUAGGUGAUUCAGACAAACUGAUAUGACUAAAUAAAAGUUUACUGCUGCUGCUGAGCAGUAGACUACAUGUUGAGGAAUGAAUAAGGCAGAAUAGUUCAUCAUGUAAGUUAUUAAUAUACACAAAUACACACAUCAAAACCAAAUGUCUUUUGUCCAUUUUUUUUAAACUAAGAUCACUUGAAAAAUGAUAACUGAUACUUUCAAUACUUUUCACAGUUUGUAUUUAAAAUAGGCCUAACAAUGUUGUACAACAUCCAGUGAAACAAUAUAUCAUGUUUUAAAUCAGAGCUGUAAUAUAUCUAGAAGCAAGGCCACCUGGAAUCAUGUUUUAAGUCAGAGCUGUAAUAUAUCUAGAAGCAAGGCCACCUGGAAUCAUGUUUUAAGUCAGAGCUGUAAUAUAUCUAGAAGCAAGGCCACCUGGAAUCAUGUUUUAAGUCAGAGCUGUAAAUAUAUCUAGAAGCAAGGCCACCUGGAAUCAUGUUUUAAAUCACAGCUAUAAAUAUAUCUAGAAGCAAGGCCACCUGGAAUCAUGUUUUAGAUCAGAGCUGUAAAUAUAUCUAGAAGGGUUGAACCAUGUGGAUGUGAAGGAACGUCUCACCAACCCAACCACAUGCACUCACACAUGCCAGGAUUUGGCUUGACCGUUGCCUCAAGGGGAUUGACAGAGGGCACACAGAGGUAAGCAGGUCUGGUGGAAUAAACCAAAUAAAAACGUUAUAUUUAGAUACAUUAGAAAGUAUGUUACAACUUAAAAGUUUAAUAUCGUGAAGUUUCGAUUUUUAAUCUUUUGGACAUCAGAAAAUGUUGAAGAAAUCCUAUUGAAGGAUCUGCAUUCAUAUGAUAAGAUAUAUAAAACCUAGCAGAGAGUAAAUCCAAAUGACAACCUCUUAGAAAAUAAUAUAAACUAUUGGAAGGAUACAGGUUGUGAGGAGAGACGCUGGCAGACGAGAAGCAAGUACAGGGAGUGAACAUUUAAUAAAUAACCGACAUGAAACAAGCAAGGACAGCGUCUAGACAGGGGAAACAUAACGACAAUAAUGCUGACACAGGGAUCAAACUGAGGAACAGACAGAUAUAGGGGAGGUAAUCAACAAAGUGAUGGAGUCCAGGUGAGUCCAAAUGAAGCGCUGAUGCGCGUAACGACGGUGACAGGUGUGCGUAAUGAUGAUCAGCCUGGCGCCCUCGAGCGGGAGCAGGCGUGUGACAGUAUCCCCCCCCUCUAGGGGCACCACCCGGCGUCCCACCUGGGCAAGCCUGACGGGCCGGCCGAGACGCGGGAGCCCGACGAGCCGGCUAAGGCAUCCCCGGUUCCUUCGGCAGCGGCACCCGGACCCGACGUCACCAACCAAAACAAAAAAAACCUAAAAGAAACUCCCUGAUGUUUCCAAUAUUGGUGUCAGCCUUCUGUGAGGACAGAUGCUGGGAGAAGAGAAGCAAGUACAGGCAGUGAACAUUUAAUAAAUAACUGACAUGAAACAAACAAGGGCAGCGUCUGGACAGGGGAAACUUAACAAUAUUGCUGACACAGGGAUCAAACUGAGGAACAGACAGAUAUAAGGGAGGUAAUCAACAAAGUGAUGGAGUCCAGGUGAGUCCAAAUGAAGCGCUGAUGCGCGUAACGACGGUGACAGGUGUGCGUAAUGAUGAUCAGCCUGGCGCCCUCGAGCACCUGGGAGGGGGAGCGUGAGCAGGCGUGACAUAGGUAUGAUAGGUAUGAAUGACUCAAUAGACCAUGCCUCCUGGGAAUGUUAUAAAGUCCAAAAAUUAUUGAUGGAGUUAGAAAGUUGGCUGUCAGAAGCAUUACAAUGUAAUACAAUCCGAUGAAGUAUCGUCCAUCAUCUUGAGAAAAAAACCUACACUUUAAAAAAAAAGGGAAAUCAACCUCCAUCGUUAACACAAUGGAAAGGUGAAAUGCUUUAUUAUCUAAAUGUUGAAAGUGCGCGGGCCACGGAGAGAAACAAAAUGGUGCAGUUUGAGGCCAUGUGGCGGAGAGUGAUGCGGGCGCUUGAGAUGGGGGGGGAGGAGCAGGUGGGUCUGUGUAGGGGUGAUGUUGUGGAUGUUUGUGAGGGCUGUUUGCUGUUGUUUGUAUGUGCACGUUUUGUAAUGUUUUUUUGUUUUUUUAAAAGAAACAUCUUACAAAAAGAAGAAAGUAUGUUUGGGUCGAGGUGUGCCUGACUGGGUUUAAAC
rnacentral:lncRNA from 1 species